rnacentral:lncRNA from 1 species
GAAAAUAGAGUCAGGUGCAACCUUUAUACACCACUGUCUAGUAUGAGUUAAUGGGGAAAGGAGUAAUGGAAGCAAUGAGCAUAUAAAUUCUGAAAUCAUCCUCGACAACAUCGUGUGUGGAAAAUUUUACAAAGGAAAAGGGCAAUCUCUUCUUUUAUCAUACCAGGGGUACAUCAAAUAAUUUUCAUUUGCAGACAAUAGAAAAAGCCUUAACUCAACUGAAAGAUGGGCAAUCUAGAAAUACUGAUGAACAUCAGCUCUAUUGACUCGUGUAGUCCAGGGAUCGCAAAAGUAGCUAAUUCAAUAUCCAGACUCUGAGUGUGCAAUUAACAAUUGUAGAGUUGACAAGGACAUAAAUCCUAUAGUAAAGAUAUUGAUAUCAAAUAAAUAAAUGAACUGGGAAUGAAGAAAUCAGAGAAGGGGGACCUCACUGUCCAUGGCUAAGCAAAACAAACUUACAUGUAAAGAUGUGGCAUAGGUGUGCAUGUCUCACCGAGCGAGAUCCCUGUGGGUUGCACAUAAUGAUGCAAGAGUAGUCUGUCUCCAGGAAACUUCAAAGCUACAUGACCACACCAAAGUUGAAAUCAAAAAUAGUUAUGUACAACAGUACAAGAUGAUUCUAUCACUGGCAACCAAUUAUUCUAGGGUUUAAUUAGUUCUCAGCUUACCUAAUUAGUUUGGUCUGCCAAGCAUUUUGUUCCUACUACAGUCUUCAAGUAUAUCGUGUAACCAAGUUAUUCAUUGGUACUAAAGAAAGAACAACCUGUAUAAAUUAUCUGAGCAAAGUAGAAAAGAUAAAAAAAUAGUAAAAAGCAAUAAAUCACAAUCACCGUCUCAAUCAGCAAUAUAAACAGUUCUACCAUGAUUCUACCAUUUUCAUCUCAAUCCUUCUCUAGAGCUAUUUCCCCCCAAAUCUUUUUUGGCCAACAGUCUGUAGGAACAUAGUGGAACUUCCCAAAUCUUCUUUGGCC